rnacentral:rRNA from 1 species
AAUACUUAGGAAUCUACCUAUUAAUGGGGGACAACAUUUCGAAAGGAAUGCUAAUACCGCAUACGCCCUACGGGGGAAAGCAGGGGAUCUUCGGACCUUGCGUUAAUAGAUGAGCCUAAGUCGGAUUAGCUAGUUGGUGGGGUAAAGGCCUACCAAGGCGACGAUCUGUAGCGGGUCUGAGAGGAUGAUCCGCCACACUGGGACUGAGACACGGCCCAGACUCCUACGGGAGGCAGCAGUGGGGAAUAUUGGACAAUGGGGGGAACCCUGAUCCAGCCAUGCCGCGUGUGUGAAGAAGGCCUUUUGGUUGUAAAGCACUUUAAGCGAGGAGGAGGCUACUCUAGUUAAUACCUAGAGCUAGUGGACGUUACUCGCAGAAUAAGCACCGGCUAACUCUGUGCCAGCAGCCGCGGUAAUACAGAGGGUGCGAGCGUUAAUCGGAUUUACUGGGCGUAAAGCGUGCGUAGGUGGCCAAUUAAGUCAAAUGUGAAAUCCCCGAGCUUAACUUGGGAAUUGCAUUCGAUACUGGUUGGCUAGAGUAUGGGAGAGGAUGGCAGAAUUCCAGGUGUAGCGGUGAAAUGCGUAGAGAUCUGGAGG